CCUACGGGUGGCAGCAGUGAGGAAUAUUGGUCAAUGGUCGUGAGACUGAACCAGCCAAGCCGCGUGAGGGAUGAAGGUACAGAGUAUCGUAAACCUCUUUUGUCAGGGAACAAAGGCGGGGACGUGUCCCCGGAUGAGUGUACCUGAAGAAAAAGCAUCGGCUAACUCCGUGCCAGCAGCCGCGGUAAUACGGAGGAUGCGAGCGUUAUCCGGAUUUAUUGGGUUUAAAGGGUGCGCAGGCGGUCUGUUAAGUCAGCGGUAAAAGCCCGGGGCUCAACCCCGGCCCGCCGUUGAAACUGGCAGUCUCGAGUUGGAGAGAAGUAUGCGGAAUGCGCGGUGUAGCGGUGAAAUGCAUAGAUAUCGCGCAGAACUCCGAUUGUGAAGGCAGCAUGCCGGCUCCACACUGACGCUGAGGCACGAAAGCGUGGGUAUCGAACAGGAUUAGAUACCCUUGUAGUC
rnacentral:rRNA from 1 species